GAUGAACGCUGGCGGCGUGCCUAAUACAUGCGAGUCGAGCGAACAGACGAGGAGCUUGCUCCUCUGACGUUAGCGGCGGACGGGUGAGUAACACGUGGAUAACCUACCUAUAAGACUGGGAUAACUUCGGGAAACCGGAGCUAAUACCGGAUAAUAUAUUGAACCGCAUGGUUCAAUAGUGAAAGACGGUUUUGCUGUCACUUAUAGAUGGAUCCGCGCCGCAUUAGCUAGUUGGUAAGGUAACGGCUUACCAAGGCAACGAUGCGUAGCCGACCUGAGAGGGUGAUCGGCCACACUGGAACUGAGACACGGUCCAGACUCUUACGGGAGGCAGCAGUAGGGAAUCUUCCGCAAUGGGCGAAAGCCUGACGGAGCAACGCCGCGUGAGUGAUGAAGGUCUUCGGAUCGUAAAACUCUGUUAUUAGGGAAGAACAAAUGUGUAAGUAACUAUGCACGUCUUGACGGUACCUAAUCAGAAAGCCACGGCUAACUACGUG
rnacentral:rRNA from 1 species